rnacentral:misc_RNA from 1 species
AAGUCGUAACAAGGUCUCCGUAGGUGAACCUGCGGAGGGAUCAUUAACACGUGCCAAACCACGUUUUAAACCAAUCAUCUGUGAACACAAACUCCACUCCCUUCACAUGUGAACGAUCGAACAACCAUCAGGGUGGAGUGUGGACUAGGGAACAAUCGAACCAACCUUCAGGGAGGGGAGACAACUAUGGCUCGGCUGGGGCUCCUCGAGAGUCCAAUCCUGUGUGAAGCGAUGCGCGACCAACUGGCAGUAUGCCCCUUGGCAUGGUCUGCUAACGCGGACUGUUGCUGUGGCAAGCGCGAAUCUUGUCCCCUUUAACAACAUACUAACAACUGAACCAUGUUUCAUUGAGACGCCCUGGCUUCGGCCAUGCAACGGUUCAUGAAUACGAUAUACGUAAUGCUGAACAGCUCUUAGCAAUGGAUAUCUUGGUUCUC